rnacentral:rRNA from 1 species
AUUGAACGCUGGCGGCAGGCCUAACACAUGCAAGUCGAGCGGAUGAAGGGAGCUUGCUCCUGGAUUCAGCGGCGGACGGGUGAGUAAUGCCUAGGAAUCUGCCUGGUAGUGGGGGAUAACGUCCGGAAACGGGCGCUAAUACCGCAUACGUCCUGAGGGAGAAAGUGGGGGAUCUUCGGACCUCACGCUAUCAGAUGAGCCUAGGUCGGAUUAGCUAGUUGGUGGGGUAAAGGCCUACCGAGGCGACGAUCCGUAACUGGUCUGAGAGGAUGAUCAGUCACACUGGAACUGAGACACGGUCCAGACUCCUACGGGAGGCAGCAGUGGGGAAUAUUGGACAAUGGGCGAAAGCCUGAUCCAGCCAUGCUGCGUGUGUGAAGAAGGUCUUCGGAUUGUAAAGCACUUUAAGUUGGGAGGAAGGGCAGUAAGUUAAUACCUUGCUGUUUUGACGUUACCAACAGAAUAAGCACCGGCUAACUUCGUG